rnacentral:rRNA from 1 species
GACGAACGCUGGCGGCGUGCUUAACACAUGCAAGUCGAACGGAAAGGCCCUGCUUGCAGGGUACUCGAGUGGCGAACGGGUGAGUAACACGUGGGUGAUCUGCCCUGCACUUCGGGAUAAGCCUGGGAAACUGGGUCUAAUACCGGAUAGGAGCCAUUUUUAGUGUGAUGGUUGGAAAGUUUUUUCGGUGUAGGAUGAGCUCGCGGCCUAUCAGCUUGUUGGUGGGGUAAUGGCCUACCAAGGCGGCGACGGGUAGCCGGCCUGAGAGGGUGGACGGCCACAUUGGGACUGAGAUACGGCCCAGACUCCUACGGGAGGCAGCAGUGGGGAAUAUUGCACAAUGGGCGCAAGCCUGAUGCAGCGACGCCGCGUGGGGGAUGACGGCCUUCGGGUUGGAAACUCCUUUCGCUAGGGACGAAGCUUUUUGUGACGGUACCUAGAGAAGAAGCACCGGCUAACUACGUG